UGUCUUAAUUAUUUGGCUGACCUUUCUAGCUCUAGGGUGAUGAUCGAGGCGAUUGGGAAAUUUUUAACUUUUGAGAAACAUUAAUUUGAAGGUUUUCAGGCUUCCCAGGUUGAGUUUACUGAAUGACGUCGGAAUCGAAUUCGAACAAUGGAAAAUGUAAACAAUCAUGGACUAUAUCGAGAAUGGAAUUCAAAUUGUAUUUUUAUGCUUAGACUGGAAUGAUGAUAGCAUCAGGUUAAUAAGAUAACCAGAAGGACUGGAAUCGUGUACGCCAUGGCACAACUUUUUUUUGACCACCCUCACUUCACCAGCAUGUAACUAUUCUGAUUAUGAAUAUUUUUUUUCCG